UACAGGGGGGGCAAGCGUUGUUCGGAAUUACUGGGCGUAAAGGGCUCGUAGGUGGCCAACUAAGUCAGACGUGAAAUCCCUCGGCUCAACCGAGGAACUGCGUCUGAUACUGGUUGGCUUGAAUUCGGGAGAGGGAUGCGGAAUUCCAGGUGUAGCGGUGAAAUGCGUAGAUAUCUGGAGGAACACCGGUGGCGAAGGCGGCAUCCUGGGCUAGCACUGACGCUCAGGCACGAAAGCGUGGGGAGCAAACAGG
rnacentral:rRNA from 1 species